AAACUCUUAGCUUCUUUUUAUUACUCUAAUGCAUGCAAAUUAAGCAUACCUGAUAAAAUUUCUGCAAUUGCAAAUAAAGUUCUACCUUGAUGUUGCUUUGUCCUCCAGGCUGCAUUGAACACGAGAUGGACGGUGCCACGAUUUUCUUGACAUUUUGGAGACUGGACGUAUAGCUCAUGGGAUGAGAAUGGCAGCUCAAGGCUGCCAUGGAUGCUAAAAGCCUCUCUCGCUGUAAAGAAGAGGGUGUGGUUAUAGAAACGGAUAAGUUUAUUUCUGGCGAUGUUUUGCGUUGUUCUCAGGAUAAGGUUUCUGCUCUUUUAUUGUCUUCCUUGGUCCUUAAUUAUCAGGCCAAUUUCAGGAAUACUUAAUACUAAUAGCAUUCAUUCUUUACCCUAUGUUGAUCAUGUCAUCACCACAAUGCCAUUUGAGCUUUGAUGGCCACCAAUUAUUCCAAAAGCUGUGUAAUUCCAACCUUAAAAUUGAUAUGAACAAAUAAAGGACUAACUCUACUCAGCACCCCCUAAACUUGUACCACUUUCUUGCUUUGACUCUAAACUUCAAUUUUAGACAAUUGUACCUUCUAGUCUCAAGUUUGUCCCAUUUAAGUAUAAUCAAUAAUUAUGUUCGCAAAAUUAACGAGAUAAAGGAUGGUAAAAAUUGACAAGAUAUCAUUUUGUUCAAACUAUGAUCCCUCAAUUUUUCUUAACCACUCUCAGUUUAUUGUCAUUAAUCUAUAUAGUUACAAUCACUAAUACUGUUAGCAAAAUUAGCGAAAUAAAAAGUGGUACAAAUUAAUGGAAAGCAUUAUUUUAUUUUUGUUACGAUAUCUUGACACUUUUUUGACCAUUUUGGCACAUUUUCAUUGAUUUGUUGAUGCUGUUAAUUUUGCUAGAGUUGUCAUUGAUUGGAUUUAAAUAGAACAAAUUUGGGAGUGUAGGGUGCAAAAUGUAUAAAACUAAAAGUUUAGAAUACGAAGUGUUUAGAAUUGCAAUUUAGGGCGCAAAGUUAGAAAAUGGUACAAGUUUGGAGGUGCAAAGUAGAGUUAAUCCACAAAUAAAUGACUCUAUGGGCAAUGUUCAUUAAACUUUUUCUUUUUCCUUUUCUUUUCUUGUACAAUCGAAUUCAUUGGCUUUCGCAGCGUAAAAGUACGACACUUUUAUAAUUUAAGAUAAGACAAAGGAAGACAAAAGGCAAGAAAAUAGAAUUUGAACGCCAGCUGUUAAACUUGAAUAAGCUUUAGGAAAAGAAUUAGGGCUGUGAAUAAUCUUUUACAGGCCCGAUCUCACUCCAUCUAGCCCUAUAAGUUAUGGGCUAAAUUUUUUAUAAAUAACUCUCGGGUAAGCCCAAAUUUAAAAUCAGUUAAGUUUGAGCAACAUUAUCCCUAGCCCAUACAUCUGUAUAUGUAGAUGUUAAACUUAAUAUACAUGUUAAUUAACUAAAAUUAAUAUGAUUGUAAGUCGGAGGUUUUGGGUUCAAAAUCUCUUUACAAAAAAAUACUCAUUAUUUCAAGAACCAAUAUUAUUUAUAAAAUUUGCAAUCAUAAUAAUGAUUACUCUUGUAAUAAGUAUCUUAAACUUUGAUUUGCUUAAUUAAUAUCUUAAACAAAAUGUCUCUAUGAGCAAAGUUCAUUGAACUUUUUUUUUUCUUUUUUUAUCCUACAGUCAAGCCCAUUGACUUUUCCAAUUAAACAGAUGAUACUUAGAAAAUUUUCACUCAUGCCCAGUUUCUUAAGGCUAGCAAAGAGUGUAUUUGUCAAAGCAAGAGCAUAGAAUUUGAAUAUGAUUGCGUCUGGGGUUAAACUCGGAUAAACUUUUCAAAAGGGGCUCUAAUGAGAGGAAGCGUAAUCUUUUUCAGCUUCUUAUGUAUCUAGUCACCAAAUUGUUCUAAAGUAAACAAAUAUUCCACUAACAUGUAUUUAAAAUAGUAUAAAAAUCAUCAAUUCUUUGUAGCCUUUACUAUGUAGGCAAACAUUUAGUCUGUCAUAGGUACUCAAAAUUUUAGUCUAAUUUCUUAUAUUUUUAAGAGAUAUGGUUUUAGGUAAAUAGCUGAAAGAAGACAAAAGUUUUAAGGUGAAAUUACAAUUUUUAAAAGGUAUGCCAGUGAAAAUAGAAAUUUGGAAAGAUUUUGGCUGGCUAAAAGAUAAGCUUUCUUAUGUUGCCACACAUAUUUUGUUUAUUUCUAGAAGGUGUUGGGUGCGUAUUUCGGAUUUUGGGAAUCCAAGUGGAAUCACAAAUUUCACCUUGGGUAUAGGUUUUCGUCAUUCUUCUUACAUGUUUGGUUUGGAACCAAAAUGAGGUUUCAUUCAAUCAAUAAUUUAGUGAUUUUGAAACCUAAGUAACAAGUGUGCAAUGAUAGGGCAAAAUUUAAUAUUUUCAUUCAUAUUUAACAAUUCUCAUAGUGAUCUAUCAAAUAAUCUGUACUGGUAUUAUCAAUUUCGCUAUCCAUCCCUAAUGCUCAAACUCAUUUACUAAAUAUCAUCUUUUUCUUUUCAAGUAACUCUCACCAUUGCCACCACAAAAGAGGGAGGGAACGGUCUUCACCUUGAAGUGUUAGAAAAAUAAGUUCUUCUUCUAUAAUAAAAAUAACAAAUUUUUAAAAAUAUCCUCUAUAUUUAUAGUUUUUGCCUCGCUAAAACUUGAUAAAAUUCUAUAAUGCACUGUCUAGAAUACACAUACAUAAAAAGAACAAUUUCAGAAACCUCUCCUAAGGUUUCACAAAAUAUCAUUUAACUCCUCCAAUGUUUUCAAAAUUUUUCUCAGCUCCCCUGAAGUGAUUGUGGAACCAUAUGUCGCUAUUAGAAGGGAUCAAUUGUCAAUCAUAUCCUCAAUUCUUCUAGCAAUUAUUUAUUCUGCUAAUAAGCAAAAAAAUUAGACAAAACUAUUAGCAUGUAAUAACAAAAAGCCCGAGAAACAAUUUGGUGCCACUUUUCUUCUAUACCAGCAAAGGCACGGAAUUAUCUCUGACAAAGUUUCAAAGGCACACAAUUCUUUUGUUAGAUGAAAUACUAACUAUAAAAGGACUCUUGUUUCUAUGUUGUAGAACCAUCCUUUUUUUCUCGUUUCUGUUCUCUCUUCUGUAAUGAACAAUACGAGAACUUGGAGCAGAGGUAAAAGGAUUCCAUAAGUUUGAAAUGAAGGCAUGAUUCUCAAAACAAAACUGCAGAACAAGUAAAAAUCCUGACUGGAGCUUUAAAUGAUCAUCUAGUACUUAAUAGGAGAUGAUCUGAAGUUCAAUAUCAAAAUAGUUACAUAAAAAUGAGAGAUUGAUGUAAUUUUUAUGUUCUGAUGAAGGAGCCUUUGUUGAUUGUGAGGUAUUCUUGAUGAUCAGGCCAUAAUACCUAUGUUGUCCUUUUAUUUUUGUAUUUUGCUGGACUUGAUAACUAAUUUUACAAUUUAACUAGCGUUUUAGUAAGUAUUUUUGAUAUUGAAUGCUGAAUAAUAUAUGUGAUUUGAUGAUAGAUGUUUGAUGAUUAUGUUAUUUAUGUCAGCGAUUCAAUGACUGUUUAGUGAUGCAAAAAGCUGCAAUACAUAAGUAUGGAGUAAGUUCUUGAUAAAGAAUCUGCUUAGGAUCAUAAAAGCUAGUAUUAUUCCUUUAUACAGCUUGUGGAGAAAAUUUUGUUUUGUAACUUAAGUUUUGCUUUGAACAUCAUAUACGUUGACUUACAAUGUGUAUAGCUCAAGAUAUAAAUGGAUGAAUGAAGAAAUGAUGAUUACAAUGAAUUAAAAGUAUGAUGCAUAUGUAAACCUUUUAUUGUGCUGAUGAAUAAUUAUACACAUGGUAUACUAUUUGCAAUAUUCCAAAAUGUAAUUCUUACAACAGCUGAUUGAAACUUUUCUUGGAAACACAUUGAUACGUUCUACACCCUAUUUCAGACGGAACCCAUAACACGCAAGUCCUGGAUCUAGAAUCGGAUGGUAUUAACGUUUGAAUAGCAAAAAUCUAGACAAACUUAGACCACACAAGAAUAUCAAGAUUGGUAGAUGACGCCACAAUCAAGGUGACUGCUUGAUGGAUAAGUCAAUGAGCACCUUAGAAACCGUUCUUAAGGUGUUCAAAAGUAUCUUUCACAAGUCAAAAGAAUUGUUUCACUCGAGAAAUUGAAUGUUAGCAAUUUCUCAAAAUCAUCUAUAAUAUAAGUCAAUGAGCACCUUAGAAACCAUUCUUAAGAUGUUCAAAAGUAUCUUUCACAAGCCAAAAGAAUUGUUUCACUCAAGAAACUAAAUAUUAGAAAAUUCUCAAAGUCAUCUAUAAUGCUUCUAAAAUUCGGCUAUUUAUACCCAACUUACAAAUCUAAAUGGGUCAAGAUUUAAACUCUUAACUAACCGAACUAAUGAAUUAAUUAAGGCCCAACUUAGACAUAAACUGGCCAAUUUAUUCUCCUAACCUAAAAGUCCCAUUCGACUCAAUUAAACAAGCAACUAUGUGGAUCCAACUUACAUGCAAGUUAGCCCAAUUUAUUCUUGAAAUAAACGACCAAACUAAGCUAGAGAAACUAAGCUAAAAAUGACUCCAAAGCAGAAAACUUGAUCCGCUUCAUUUGUAAGCCCUUGAUGUGAACCUAUGAACUGCAACUGGAUAUACGAAUCUUAGGAUCCAAUGGAGUUUGAUCAACAUAGAUGAGAUUAAUAAAGAUUGUUUCAACAUGCUUAAACCCUUCAAUGGAUCUUGACACUUCAUUUUAGUCUUGACAGCCCACACUGGAGCUCGAAAUGCUCCUUUAAGUGUCAUAGCUCUUGCUCUAGUGACCUUAUUCACGAGAACCCACAUUGGAUUACCUUGAACAUCUCGCAUGCUCACAUCACACAUUGACAUGUAGAAUGAGAAGAAUUGUUGCAUAUGAUAUUGUAGUUCAUUGCAUGGGAAACAAAGUUAGAACUUCUAAUGUAGAUCCAAGGAAUUCGCAAUAUAUUGACCUAUUCAAUGAUAUUACUGACAAGGAAAUGAAUGACUUGCCUGGAAAUUUGAAUAUACUUUUGCACAUGAAGUGUGGGAUUCCUAGGACAACAUGCUUUAUGAACAUUACUACAAACAAAUCAGUCUUUGUUAUAUUCAAACUCCAUGAAAAGGAUCUUGUUGUCAACUAGUAUGUGCUACACCUGGAAAUUAUUCCUACAACAGAGGAGAAUACCGUAGAAAACAACCAAACUAAGAAUGCACAGAAAACUUAGAAAUCAAAAAGGCUCCUAUUCUUGUGGAAUACAUUGAGGCUAAUGAUGAGAUUUAUGAUUCUAGGUCUAAUGACUCUUGGAAGGAUAAUAUAUAUAGUGACUUGGAAGAUGUCAUAAAUGAAGAUAGGGUGUCAAUUUCUUCCAAUGAUGAGGGUGAAAUUAACUUGUCUAAUUAUGAGAAGAAUAAAGAUGGCCUUGUUGUGCUUGAAUCAAAAUUUGAAAAAGAAGUGGAUCCUAUUAGAGCAGUCAUGAAGUCCAAGAGAGAACAAUAAAUUUGAAAAAGGAUACUUUCUACCAAUGUGGAUGCAUUUAGGGCAGGCUUGAAAGACUAUACAAUUUAGAAAGGAUUGCUACUAAUGAGGUUAAAAAAUGAAAAGAGUAGGUAUACUGCCAAAUAUGGUGCUCAGGGUGGUAACUGGAGGAUUCAUGCAUCCCUAAUUGCUAAUACAACUAUUUUCAUGAUUAAAACGUAUACACCUAAGCAUGUAUGUGUCAUGAAUAGGAAGAACUCAAAUGCAACUCUUGAUUGGAUUGUAAAGAAACUAAUUUCUGUGAUGAGAGACCACCCAGAGAUGACAAACAAGGAAGUUAUUGUUAAAAUGAUGAAGCAUGGAGUGUAGCCAAGUAAAAUGCAAAUCUACAAGGCAAUAAAGAAAGCCUUUGAAGAGAUAGAAGGAUCACAGUAUGAGGCACAUGGAAAAUUGCCAAAAUAUGCUAAGCUUUUGAUGAUUAAUAACCCAAGUAGCAUCAUGAAAAUUUGCUAUGACAGGCCCAACCUUCUUAUGGAGUCUAAAUUUUUGAGAUUGUUCAAAAGUUUUGAGGCACAAAGGAUAGAUUCCUUGCAGGUUGCAGCUUAUUUAUUCACUUUGAUGAAUGCCAUUUUAAAGGUGCAUUUGGGGGUAUUCUGUUGACUGCUGUUGCUCUUGAUGGAAACAAUGUUGUUGAUAGGUUGCAUUUUAGUGGGUAUUUUGGGCAUUAUUGCACAACUAAUUGAUUAAAUAUUUUCAUUAUUUGGGUGGAUUCUACUGAUAUUUUGUUUUGACGCUAAUUGCAGGGAUGGACGCUGAAAAGUACUUAAAAUCAAAACUUAGAAGAUUUGUCGCUGUGGGGUCCGAUUUAGAAGCUGAAGAAACUUAAUUGUAAUAGAUAGUAUUUUAUUUUAUUUCGAGGGAGUCGGGUGGCAAUUUGGAGCAAGUAACAAUUUUCGGCUAUUGGGGAUAUUAUUUAUCUCUCGCGCGGUUUAGGUUAGGGGAGUUGUUCUUUCCUUUGUUUUGUUUUUCUUGGCUCUGGAAGGAGGGGAGAGCCGAAGCUCUGUAGAGAGAAAUAAAGCCCCCAUUGUUGACAUUUUCUAGGAUUGUUUUUCAUAUUCUGUUGACUUGAGCAGUUGCUAUUUUCUAAUCUAUCAAUUGAAUUGGGUUGACCGAAAUUGGAAGACAAAAGAAGCAAUUGAAAACAAAACCUCUCGUAUGUCUCUUUGGUGAUAAAAAGAAAGAAAGCAAAGUGCAGCCGCCAUUGUGGACUUGGUGGGUUCUCUCUUUACUCGAUUUUGACCAAAAAAUUGGGAGACUAUCCGACGUAUGCUUUAGAGGAAAAUUGGCAGCAAUAAAAAAGCUUCCUUGCGUUUUCCUCUGGGGCUGACCGAAGCGAAGGAAAAGUGAUCUGCAAACCUCCCCAAACUCCGCGCACCGCUUGCCCUUCCUUAAUGGCGGGCUAAUUCUCCAAUUCUAGUCAAGGGGGCAACUGACGAAUUGGUUCACCGAUUACUGUGAGAUCUAAGCCGUUGUUAAUUAUUUUCUCCGUUUAUUGGUAUUUAUAUACUCCCUGCUCUUAAUUGUUAUAGUUCUUAUGUAUGAUUGAUUAGUGCGCAAUAAUUAAUUAUUCAUAGAGACUAUUUUGCUAAAUAGGGGUAAUUGAAUCCGUAAUUGUUCGUUACCUCUAUCCCAGUAGCAACUGGUAUAAUUGGGUUUAUGUCAGGGGAAUAUAUGAUCUACCUUAAAUAAACCCUCGUAGCGUGUUUAUUGGUUAGGAUUGGGCCUUUCUAAUUAUUAAUGCAAUCUGGAAAUUAAAUCCUACGGUCGUACUUAGGGUUGUUUUUGGGUUAGAGAAAUAGCUAACGGUCGUACCUUAGUUAUCGAUAAAUUACGGAAGGGUUGGUCGUUUGGCGCGUGCGAGACAACUAUAACCAAUCUAUUAGUAGAUGUUGGAAUUACAUUUGAAUCAAUGAUCAGUUGCAUGAACCAUUUCUGAAGUGUACCCUUGGCUAGAGUUUCUCUUAAUUAUUUCUUUUAAUUAAUUAUUUCUUUGCAUUUAAUUUGUUUAGUUGGCAUUUGAUACCAAAACCCCCCAUUAAUCUUGGUUUGAAAGGAAGCAAAAAUAUCUUGCUAGUCCCUGAGGAGACGACCCUGCUUACCACUGUCUACUAGUUAGGGAAUUCAGUUAAAUAAUUAAUUCAGGUAUAUAGGAUUAAGCAAACUCUUCGGGAACAGGGUGAAUCAAGUAACCCAUUGCACACCUAGAGUCCCUGCUCCAGUACUCGAAUUGAUUACUGACUGUUCCAGGUGGUAGUUAGGAUUUAUUUAUUAUUAUUGCACAGGUUCAGCACCUGUCAAUUUUUUGCGCCGUUGCCGGGGACUGGCGUUUGAAUUAUUUGCUUCUUUUUGAAUUCAGUUUUAUUUUGUUUUAUUUUAUUUUUCCUUUUUCUUGGUAUUUUUGCUAGUUUAUGCCCCGUUCUUCUCGCACAGGUGACUUGGUAUACGAUCCUGAGGUCGAGAAGGCAGCGCGUAGGCGAAGGCAAGAGACCAAGAGACAAAAAGAAGGGCAUUUAUUUUCUGCAAACGAGCCAGUAGAAAACGAAUUUAGCAUGGCCAACACCCAGACAUUAAGGGAGCUGGCUACCCCAGACCUGACUCAUCAGCCCUUGUGCAUCACGUUCCCAACUCUGGUUGAAAAUACUUCUUUCGAGCUGAAAUCGGGGUUGAUUCAGCUCCUGCCUUCGUUCCAUGGUCUUUCUGGUGAAGAACCCCACAAACAUGUCAAGGAAUUCGAAGUAGUUUGCUCUAGCAUGAAACCUCCUGGGGUCACUGAGGAGCAAAUAAGACUGAGAGCCUUCCCCUUCUCUCUCAAGGAUGCAGCGAAGGAUUGGCUAUACUAUCUACCUGCAGGUAGUAUCACCACGUGGGCACAAUUGAAGAAGAAAUUCCUGGAGAAAUUUUUCCCCGCAUCCCGGGCUGCAAGUUUGAGGAAGGAGAUUUGCUGCAUCAAGCAGUACUCCGGGGAGUCAUUGUACGAUUUUUGGGAAAGGUUCAACAAGUUGUGCGCUAGAUGCCCACAACAUCAGAUUAGUGAACAACUGUUGAUCCAGUACUUCUAUGAGGGACUCCAGUCAACUGACAGGAGUAUUAUUGACGCUGCAAGUGGAGGAGCCCUGGCGAACAAGACGCCGAGGGAAGCGUGGGACCUUAUUGAAGCCAUGGCAGAAAACUCUCAGCAGUUCGGCUUUCGUGAGAGCAAUCCUACCCGUAGAGUCAAUGAGGCAGAGACGCCAUCCAUCCAGCAGCAACUGUCAGAGUUGACAUCUGCUGUCAGGCAAUUGGCCAUGAGAGACACACCGCGAGCAAAGGUGUGUGGAAUCUGUACUAGCAUGGACCACUGCACGGAUUCGUGCCCCAUUCUGCAAGAGGACGGGGCGGAACAGGUAAAUAUGGCCGGAGGCGUGCCCGCGCCCCGCAGGCAGUAUGACCCGUAUUCCAACACAUACAACCCCGGUUGGAGAGACCAUCCCAAUCUCAGUUAUGGGAACAGGCAACAGGGUUCAUUCCCGAAUCGUCCACCAGGAUUCCACCAGCCUUGGCAACCAAAAAUCUCAACCCUCAUCCUCCAAUUCAGGAAGCUCCUUAGAGGACCCAGUCAAGAACCUGGCCACGACUACUACCAACCUGGCCACGACUACUACACAGCUUCAACAGGAGAUCAGAUCCUUGGCCGCGAAUACCGCGCAGCUCCAGCAGGACACCAAAGCUGACAAGAAGGACCAAGAUGUUCGAAUAAGUCAACUGGCAACUGCCAUCAACCGCUUGGAGUCUCAUGUUUAUGGGAAACUGCCAUCGCAACCCGAGGUAAAUCCCAGGAAUGUAAGUGCCAUGACGCUGAGGAGUGGCAAGGAACUGGAAGGGCCUACAGUGAAAAAUUCAAAAAGCAAAAGUGAGGAGGAGAUAGAAAAGGAAAUUGAAGAGGAAGGACGUAUCCGAGAAGAUCCUAAGGUAACAUUCACUUCUCCACCCACUACUACAUCUGACUUACCUCCUUUCCCUUCCAGGUUGGCGAAGACAAGAAAAGUAGAAAAGGAAAAGGAACUUUUGGAUGUAUUCAGGAAAGUAGAGAUUAACAUCCCCCUACUGGAUGCAAUCAAGCAGAUACCAAAAUAUGCCAAAUUUUUGAAGGACUUGUGCACCCACAAGAGGAAGCUGAGGGGAGAUGAACGAGUGGCGGUGGGAGAAAACGUGUCAGCCAUGCUCCAAAGGAAACUCCCACCAAAAUGUGGAGACCCAGGUAUGUUCACCAUUCCCUGCAAGAUAGGAGGUGCCUCGAUUAGGAAGGCAAUGUUGGAUUUAGGGGCGUCAAUCAAUGUAAUGCCUAAAAUAAUUUAUACGUCCCUUAAUCUUGGUCCAUUAAAAGGCACAGGCAUUAUAAUCCAACUUGCAGACCGCACCAAUGCUUACCCAGAAGGGUUAGUUGAAGAUGUUUUGGUGCAGGUCAAUGAGUUAGUUUUUCCUGCAGAUUUCUAUGUCCUAGACAUGGGGGAUGAAAGGGCACUAAAUCCGUCUCCUAUUUUGUUAGGUAGGCCAUUUUUAAGCACUGUUAGGACGAAAAUAGAUGUAAAUGAGUGUACUUUGUCGAUGGAGUUCGAUGGGAAAAUUAUAAAUUUUAAUAUUUUUGAUGCGAUGAAGUACCCAGAUGAGUCUAACUCUGUUUAUGCUUUAAGUGUUGUUGAGCCCCUUGUGCAGGAAAUAUUUGAAUUGGAGGGGGUUGAUGCACUAGCAGUGGCAUUAGCCAAACAUCUUGAGUUGGGAGCAACUCCUGAUGUGGGACUGAGCGAUGAGUUAUAUUAUGCAGUUGGAGCACUGCAUUCGCUCCCACCAAUCUCCCCGAGGUAUGAGCUUACGUCUGUCUUCGUACCAGAAACUCAGACGAAAUUGUUGCCUUCAAUUGUGCAGGCACCUGAGUUGGAGCUCAAGCCUCUUCCGAAGCACCUGAAGUAUGCAUUUCUCGGAGAUAAUGAGACGUUACCAGUCAUCAUAUCUGCACACUUAUCACCAAGGCAAGAAGACAACCUGAUUCGCCUUCUUCGAGAUCAUAAGGAGGCGAUUGGGUGGAGUGUAGCAGAUAUCAAAGGAAUUAGCCCCUCCUUAUGCAUGCAUCGGAUCCGGCUUGAGGAUAAUGCAAAGCCAGUUAGACAAGGGCAACGGAGAUUGAACCCACUAAUGAUGGAAGUGGUCAAGAAGGAGAUACUUAAACUCCUAGAGGUGGGGAUCAUCUUCGCCAUCUCAGAUAGUCCUUGGGUGAGCCCCGUGCAAGUAGUCCCGAAAAAGGCGGGACUAACUGUUGAGGAGAACCAAGAGGGUGAGAUGGUCCCGGUGAGAAAACCUACAAGAUGGCGCCAGUGCAUUGAUUACCGGCGUCUGAAUGCUGUGACAAAGAAGGACCACUUCCCUCUACCUUUUAUUGAUCAGAUGAUAGAAAGGUUAGCUGGCCGUGUCUAUUACUGUUUUCUUGAUGGUUUCUCUGGUUAUUUUCAGAUAGCGAUAGCACCAGAGGAUCAGGAGAAAACUACCUUCACCUGCCCCUUCGGUACAUUUGCAUAUCGGAGGAUGCCUUUCGGCCUCUGCAAUGCCCCAGCAACUUUUCAGAGGUGUAUGGUGAGUAUAUUCUCCGAAUACGUAGAAAAGAUUAUUGAGGUGUUUAUGGAUGAUUUUAGUGUGUAUGGAGAUAGUUUUGAUGAAUGCCUUGAUAAUUUAGCUCUAAUUUUGAAAAGAUGCAUUGAGACAAAUUUGGUUCUGAAUUGGGAAAAAUGUCAUUUCAUGGUAGAUCAUGGUAUUGUUUUAGGGCAUGUAGUGUCGGCCAGAGGUAUAGAGGUAGACAAGGCAAAAGUCGAUAUUAUUUCUGCUUUACCUUACCCCGCAAGUGUGCGGGAGGUGCGCUCCUUUUUGGGUCAUGCAAGGUUCUACAGGAGAUUCAUCAAAGAUUUCUCCAAAAUUGGAGCGCCCCUGUUCAAACUGUUGCAAAAAGAUGUGGCAUUUGACUUCACCAAAGAGUGCAAGGUGGCAUUUGACAGGUUGAGGGAGUCAUUGACAUCACCACCUGUUAUCCAACCUCCAGAUUGGAGCCUCCCAUUUGAGAUAAUGUGUGACGCGAGUGACUAUGCAGUGGGAGCAGUGCUGGGGCAACGGAUUGGCAGGGCGGCUCAUGCAAUCUAUUAUGCAUCAAAGGCGUUGAAUGGAGCCCAACUCAACUAUUCUACAACAGAGAAAGAAUUACUUGCUGUGAUUUUUGCACUAGAAAAAUUUAGACCAUACUUGUUAGGUGCAAAAGUAAUAGUUUUUUCUGAUCAUGCAGCCUUGAGAUAUUUGAUAACAAAGAAGGAUGCUAAACCAAGGCUUAUCAGAUGGAUACUGCUCCUUCAAGAGUUCAAUUUGGAGAUUAAAGAUAAGAGUGGGGCAGAAAACUUAGUCGCUGAUCAUUUAAGCCGCUUGCUUGCUCAUAAGGAAGAGCCACCAUUGAGGGAGGCAUUUCCAGAGGAGCAACUACUUGUCAUUAACUCGUCUACACCCUGGUAUGCUGAUAUAGUAAAUUUCUUGGUGACUAAUCAAUUGCCUGCAGGGUGGCCAAAGGCUAAGAGAGACAAGUUGAAGAGUGAUGCUAAGUAUUACAUUUGGGACGACCCGUAUCUUUGGAGACAAUGUUCGGAUCAAGUGCUCAGGAGGUGUGUAAGUGCAGGUGAAUUUCACUCCAUUUUAAAUUUCUGUCAUUCGUUUGCAUGUGGAGGGCACUUUGGGCCCAAACGAACAGCUCGCAAGGUGUUGGAGAGUGGUUUUUACUGGUCUACCCUGUUUAAAGACGCUUAUUUAUUCUGUAAAUCCUGUGAUAGGUGUCAAAGGGUGGGGAAUAUUUUUCGUAGGGACCAAAUGCUUCAAACCCCCAUGUUCUUUGUUGAAAUUUUUGAUGUUUGGGGGAUAGAUUUUAUGGGUCCUUUUCCCUCAUCUUUUGGUUUCUUAUACAUUUUACUUGCUGUAGACUAUGUCUCUAAAUGGGUGGAAGCCAAAGCCACCCGUACUAAUGAUUCUAGAGUGGUUGCAGAGUUCUUAAAGUCUAAUAUCUUUGUCCGUUUUGGAAUGCCAAGAGCUGUGGUUAGUAAUAGAGGGACACAUUUCUGCAACAAGACUAUCACUGCCUUGUUUCGAAAAUACGGUGUCCUCCAUAAGGUAUCCACACCGUAUCACCCCGCAGGCAAACGGUCAGGCCGAAGUGUCAAACAGGGAAAUCAAGUCGAUCUUGGAGAAGAUGGUGCGUCCGGACAGGAAGGAUUGGAGUUUAAAACUAGAAGACGCACUAUGGGCUUAUCGAACCGCGUAUAAUACGCCGAUUGGGAUGUCUCCUUAUAGACUUGUCUUCGGUAAGGCUUGCCAUCUUCCCGUGGAGUUCGAACACAAGGCGUUUUGGGCAGUGAAGCAGUGUAACAUGGGACUAGAGGAAGCAGGGGUCCAAAGGAAAUUGCAGCUACAAGAGUUAGAGGAGAUAAGAAAUGAAGCGUAUGAGAAUGCCACGAUCUAUAAAGAAAAGAGUAAAAUCUUUCAUGAUCAGCAGGUUUCUAGGAAAACUUUUGUAGUGGGGCAAAAGGUCCUCUUGUAUCACUCAAGGCUUAAACUUUUUCCCGGUAAGUUGCGUUCUCGUUGGAUUGGUCCAUUUGUCGUUUCUAAUGUGUUCCAUUAUGGUGCAGUGGAGAUCCAAAGUUUAAAAACGGAGAAAAAGUUCGUGGUGAAUGGCCAUCGUCUCAAACCUUAUUAUGAGGGGUUCUCUGUUGAAGAAGUGGAAGUUAAACACCUCCAAGAUCCACCUUAUCAUGCUUGAGGGUUCUGGCCAUGUCUAGCCAAAGACGUUAAAGAAAGGCGCUACCUGGGAGGCAACCCAAGACUAUUUAUUUCAGUUUUCAUGCAUUUUUGAAGUUUUAGUUAAGUAUUAGUGUCAAUUGAUGGUUUGAUGUUUGGUGGCAGGAGAUCAGUGGUUAGGCGUGCCCACGCCUGGUGGUCACGCCUGAGGAAAAGAAAUUUCCGCUCAGAUUCUGCGAACUCCAUAGCAGUUAGGCGUGCCCACGCCAAAUGGUCACGCCUGACGGAAAAAAUUUUUUCGUUCAGGAUCUGCGGACUCUAUGGCAGUUAGGCGUGCCCACGCCAGGUGGUCACGCCGGAGGAAAAGAAACUUUUGUUCAAGAUCUGCGGACUCUAUAGCAGUUAGGCGUGCCCACGCCUAAGCCAGAGGUUUUAAAAAAAAAAAAGAGGGAGAGAGAAAGGGGUGGCGAAAAGACGAAAUUGCCCUUAUUGAAAAAGAAGGAAAAAAUCGUAGCCCUACUUCUUCUUUUCUUCCUUUUUCUUUCUUUCUUCUUUCUUCUUCCUUUUCUUUCUUUUUCACUCUUCUUCUUCCUUCUUUUCUCCUUGUCCGCCGCACCUCCACUGCCGCACGCCGCCAUUGUCCGCCGCCACUCCUCACUCCACCCCAUCGCCCAAGCGCGCUCCGCGCGAGCUCCAGCCUCCAUCGCGCGCGGCCUCUCGGUCUGCACAGCCCACGCCGCGCGACGCUGCCGCCCAGCGCACCUCCCUCCGUGCGACGCAGCCCUGCGCGCCGCCCCCAGCGCAGCCCAGCAACCAGCAGCCGCGCCGCACGCCACAUCGCGCGCCCAUCAACAGCCUGCCGCGCGCCAAUCCAGCCCCUCUCCAGGCGCAGGCUUUGCGAAACCCUCGCGCACUUCUUCUUUGCGAAACCCAGCUGAGCCAGCCUCCUGCAGCCCGCGCGCGCGCCCCAACUGAGCCAGCAGCACAGGAUCUCCCCUACUCUCUACUUCACCCACUGCCAGCCAAAAAUAAACUCCGGUGAUUUCUUUUUCAAAUUCCUGUCACUUAGCUGAGGCCAGAUUCUUAAUUUUUGUAGCAGAGGACAGAUUUUAAUUUGUUAGCUGAGGCCAGAUUUCUUUUAAUUUGUUAGCUGAGGCCAGAUUGUUAAAUUCUUGCCGUUUGGGUGCUGUGAUAUGUUUGUAGCUGAAUGUUGGAGAAAGUUUUUACUCUGGUGCUUGGUUAAUUAGUUUUAGGGGGAAUUUUGCUGAGUUUAAUUAAUUAGGUAAUUUUUGGGGUUAUUUGGUAGCAUUUGGGGAAAUCUUCGUGGUUUCCAUGUUUAAUUGGUUUUUGGGUGAAGAUCUUAUUAUUUAGCAACUUAAUUGAUUUUUGGGUUGUUUAGUUUCUAUUUGUGCAAUUGUUGGUGUUUGGAGCUGUGUUUGGGGACCCCUUGCUUUGUUGACUAGUUACCGCUCCAGUUUACCCAACUUCACCUUAACUUUUGCCCUGCCCUUUGAUCUCAAAUGACACAAACAAAAACCAAAGGCAAGAACAAGCCUUCCACUUCCACCCCUCAGCCUACGGUCCCCUUAGGGGGACCUGCCCCAUCGACUGGGCCUGGAGGGCCCCGUACUC
rnacentral:lncRNA from 1 species